AAAUUCAAAGAAGCAUGAACUGCAUAGAAUCUGAAAUAAAACAUUUCAAACCCGUAGGGUUCUACUAUGUCAGUUAUGCCAAGAUGUCUGGUGGAGUAGUCUGGAUUGUUAAAAUGACAAAUACAGCUCUACACUAAGAGAAAAAUGCACUCUUGAGAGACACAGAGAUGGAGAUUAUUUACAGAAUCUACAGCUCUCCUUCUGGAUUCUGGUCGCUGAGAGAAAAGGUGGAGAAGCACCCACAAAGCAGCUGUGGAAUAAAGAACCCAUUUCACCCUUCAGAGCUCUCCUGCUGCUUUAGUGGAAAACCCGAUGGAUGGAUGGAUAAAGCUUGCAGAAAGAAAAAUCAGCGCUUGGCUAGAGCAAUGCAGGGGAUGUGA
rnacentral:lncRNA from 1 species